GUUAAAUGGAUUGAAAACUAUAUCAGUUGGAGCCAUUAGAGAAGUACUUAAGAAAGUAGUCUGGAAAUCUUGAUGAUCAUUUAAGAUUGGUGAAUUAUCUCCAUCUGAAAACGAUGCCGAUUAGUCGUGACUCGUGUCCUUAGACGAUACUUGGAGCUUGUGUAUAUUUUUCUACUUUGGAAAUGCAUUUUGCACAUAUUUGACAGCCUACAGAGAAGUAGUAAUUUGGAGUAACUUUCUUCCAUUGUAUCAUGUUUCUUGAUCAUCACUUGGUAUGUGGUUCUCUGAGAAGUUCAUGAAAGUAGAGUUGCUAAAUCUUGCAAUUGAUUUUUGUCAGUGAGUGCUUCUUAUGUCCUUAGAGGAUAGUUAGAGUUUGUGUAUAUUUUUCUACUUUGGAAAUGCAUUUUGCAUAGAUUUGACAGCCUACAGAGAAGUGAUCUGGAGUAACUUUCUUCCAAUGUAUCAUGUUUCUUGAUCAUACUUGGUUUGUGGUCCUCUGAGAAGUUCAUGAAAGUAAAGUUGCUGAAUCUUGCAAUUAUUCUCUUCCCCACUUCUCCCUUUGAAAGGUCACAUCAGAAAUAAAGGAUGGCAAAAUACAUACUUUACCUAUCGAUUUUGUCCCUAAAUUCCUUACACACUUGUUAAAGACGGGAAUAAUAUUAGUAUUACACACCAAAACUUUUAAUGGUGUGUCAAUUACACACCACUUCGGUGUUUCACCACAUGUUCUUAAAGAUUAUUAUUACACGCGUCAAUCAGCUUUUGACAUGUGUCAUAAACCGUUUAAAAAAAGAAAAAACUGAAGAAAAAAAACCUCUGCCCCCAUUCUCUUCCCCACUUCUCCGUUUGAAAGGUCACAUCAGAAAUAUAAAAGGAUGGUAAAAUACAUAUUUUACCUAUCCAUCUUGUCCCUAAAUCCCUCUUACACACUUGUUAAAGAUGAGAAUAAUAUUAUAUACCAAAACUUUUAAAGGUGUCAAUUACACACCAUUUUGGUGUUUGACCACAUCUGCU
rnacentral:lncRNA from 1 species